UACGAAGGGUGCGAACGUUAUUCGGAAUUACUGGGCGUAAAGGGUGUGUAGGCGGCACAAUAAGUUCGUUGUUAAAAGCCUUGGCCUAACUGAGGAGAUGCGACGAAAACUAUUGAGCUAGAGGGUGAGAGAGAGAAGUGGAAUUUCCGGAGUAGCGGUAAAAUGCGUGGAUCUCGGGAGGAACACCAAUGGCGAAGGCAGCUUCUUGGCUCAUUUCUGACGUUGAAACACGAAAGCGUGGGGAU
rnacentral:rRNA from 1 species